CUUAAGAAACCAUAUUUGGGAAUAGCAUAGAAAAUUUUCAUUUUUUUCGCUUUUUGAGAGGUAUAGUUUAAUUAUAAUGGGUCUCGGCAAAGGAGAAAACGUGCGAUUAUUAUUCAAUAUUCGAAGGAUGGUUUGAAGCAGCGAGAUAUUUCUUAGAAAUUGUGUUUAACUAAGUCUUCAGUUUGUCGAAUAAUUAAGAAAUACAAAGCUUCCGGGUUAGCAUCACCACUGAAACGUUCUGGACUACCCAGAGUAACAAAAACACGUGAUGACUCUCUAUUCCGACGCUCUGCAGUCAGAAAUCCGACUGUAUGUCAAAAAUCACCCCGGAUCUUUAUCAAAAAUCACCCCGGAUCUUUGGUAUCAACUGAACCAGUCAGUCGACGCCAAUCCGUAUCAAAUGUGUGUUAAUAAACCAUAGACAGCUUUCUAAGUCUUCUUGGGGUAAUAGAUGGAACGGCGAUACAAAUUAAAGAAGCCACUGGGACUGAUAAGCCAGCUUAUAUUUGCAGAAAAGGAUAUCCUGCUCUGAACUGUCAAGUUGUGAUUGAUCAUGAUGGGAAGUUUAGAGAUGUUGUUGCAAAGUAUCCUGGAUCGUGUCAUGAUGCUUUUAUUUUAUAAAUUCAGCAUUAAAAGAGACAUUGGAAGAUAAUCCUUGUGGUUUUCUUUUUGCAGACUCCUGAUACCGGUUUUCACCAGUCAUGAUUACUCCGUUUAAUCAGCCAACUGCACCUCAGGAAAUCUAUUUUAAUGAGGUUCAUUCUUAGAUACGUAGUAAUAUGCAGCAAUCCAUUAGUCGUUUAAAAAACCAUUAGAGAUUUUUGCACGAAAGUGGUGGAGCACUUCAGUACACCCCAACAACUUGCUGCAAAAUAUUUUUUACAUGUGUUUUAUUAGAAAACUUAUCUGUCAUUGCUUUAGAUUGGAAUUUCUAGAUGACAUCAACUUUGAGGAUAAUGAGGAAGAUAAUUUACAUGAUGAUCAGACUGAGUUAACACAAGCCGAUUUGGUAUUGAAUGAAAAACAGAAAUCAAACAUUAUUUGUUUUCAAAUCAAAGGCAAUGAUAUAUUGUUAAAUUUGGCAUAGAAGUCUGCAGGAUUCUUUUAAUAUUUAGAUUACACUUGAAGGCAUUGUGUAAACUCCAAACUAAACAUUGUUCAUGUUUAUGUCAAAUUACAAAUAUUUUGGAAAAAAAAGCAUCAAAUUGAGUUUGGUAACAAAAAUAUGUAUAAAUUUUUCCCUCAAACCAUCACCCCCUCCUUCUCGCCUCCACGUCAAAUGUCAGGGCAUUGAGUUAAGAAAAUAGCAUUAAAAUGCCUAAGUACAGAGUUUGCACAACGCCUGUAAGUGUCAUAUCUGAAACAUCACAAAAUCCUGCAGGCCCUUAUAAAAUGUUGUAAUUUAUGUAUACAAACUUUUGUUUAUUUAUGUUUUAAGUAAACACUAUUUACGUGUUACUCAUGAUUCAAGUAGAUAUAAGUAAUUAUUGCAA